UGUAUUUCACAGCUGUAUCAAACUCUUCAGUCAGUCAGCCAUGGACAAACAUUUCCUGCUGGUCCUGUUGUGUCUGCAGGCUUUCCUGCUCAUCACAGCCUUCACUUCUACAGAUGAAGCAGCUCUGGUGAUGGAUGAUGGACCACAGUCUCUUGAUCUGGAUGAAACUGCGGGAAAAGGAAAUGGAAAGUUAAUUCGGACCAGGAGAGACUGCAGGAGAAGACCAGGAGGAUGUAAAGGUCCCCCCCGCUGAUGACCGUCUCAACUCCAAAGAGUGAUUUAAUAUGAAGGAAACAACUUGAUUUCACUUGUGCACUUGAACAACAAAAGUUCAAAACAAACUUUUCAGGAACUGCCAUAGUAUGUUGAGGAGUGGAAAUGAAUAUACUGUAUGCUGUACUUAUGUAAUGUGCAAUCAUUUAUUGGAUUUGCUGUUCAAACUAUUUAUUUACAAAAUAAAGACUUAUAAUCAGA